rnacentral:rRNA from 1 species
AGUGAACGCUGGCGGUAGGCCUAACACAUGCAAGUCGAACGGCAGCACAGAGGAGCUUGCUCCUUGGGUGGCGAGUGGCGGACGGGUGAGGAAUACAUCGGAAUCUCCUCUGUCGUGGGGGAUAACGUAGGGAAACUUACGCUAAUACCGCAUACGACCUACGGGUGAAAGCAGGGGAUCUUCGGACCUUGCGCGAUUGAAUGAGCCGAUGUCGGAUGAGCGAGUUGGCGGGGUAAAGGCCCACCAAGGCGGCGAUCCGUAGCUGGUCUGAGAGGAUGAUCGGCCAGACUGGAGCGGGGACACGGGCCAGAGUCCUACGGGAGGCAGAGGUGGGGAAGAUUGGACAGGGGGCGCAAGCCUGAGCCAGCCAUACCGCGUGGGUGAAGAAGGCCGUCGGGUGGUAAAGCCCUUUUGUUGGGAAAGAAAUCCAUCUGGUUAAUACCCGGGUGGGAUGACGGUACCCAAAGAAUAAGCACCGGCUAACUUCGUGCCAGCCGCCGCAGUAA